AUCCAAAAUGGAUUAUUCUGUCUGUAUGCAUAAUACCUUGGAUCACUGCUUGGAGUUGACCAAUGGGUUGUAUGUAUUUACUGUAGUUGGAUGAACUUGUGGAAUCAGCGGAUACCUGUCAAUUAGAUCAGUAUGCGGCUUCUGAGAAAGCUGGGAGAAACUUGCAGUUCCUCAGCCUCAAUCUAAGUCACAUACACAAAUUCAGUCUGCCCAACAAAUUUCUCAACCUAGCAGGUUGAGACUCAGCUCAGGCAGCAACAGCCGAUACAACUCCAGCAACAAUCUUUAUCUUCAUCGGUCAAUAUUGCAUGUUAGUAUCCUUUUCUUGACAAUGUUGUUAUGUUGCUUUCAUUUAAUGCUUGGGCUUUUGUAGAACUUGUCUAUUGCAAAUUUGCAAUUUCUAUAUUCAAUUAGGGGCUAUUUGGAUUGGUGGAAAUGGAAAAUAAAAAAGUAGCCAAGGAAAACAUCCAUCUUUUUUGUGUUAAAAUAAGCUCUUUGCGGAUUAAAACACUCGAUUUAGGCAACUUGGAUGAAUCAAAGUUCUGUAGGCCAUUUUGGAGAAAAUUUGAAAAAGAUGCAAGUCUUCAAUUUCU